GAUGAACGCUGGCGGCGUGCCUAAUACAUGCAAGUCGAGCGAACGGACGAGAAGCUUGCUUCUCUGAUGUUAGCGGCGGACGGGUGAGUAACGCGUGGAUAACCUACCUAUAAGACUGGGAUAACUUCGGGAAACCGGAGCUAAUACCGGAUAAUAUUUUGAACCGCAUGGUUCAAAAGUGAAAGACGGUCUUGCUGUCACUUAUAGAUGGAUCCUCGCUGCAUUAGCUAGUUGGUAAGGUAACGGCUUACCAAGGCAACGAUGCAUAGCCGACCUGAGAGGGUGAUCGGCCACACUGGAACUGAGACACGGUCCAGACUCCUACGGGAGGCAGCAGUAGGGAAUCUUCCGCAAUGGGCGAAAGCCUGACGGAGCAACGCCGCGUGAGUGAUGAAGGUCUUCGGAUCGUAAAACUCUGUUAUUAGGGAAGAACAUAUGUGUAAGUAACUGUGCACAUCUUGACGGUACCUAAUCAGAAAGCCACGGCUAACUACGUG
rnacentral:rRNA from 1 species